UACGGAGGAUGCAAGCGUUAUCCGGAAUGAUUGGGCGUAAAGCGUCCGCAGGUGGCUGUGUAAGUCUGCUGUCAAAGAGCGAAGCUCAACUUCGUAAAGGCAGUGGAAACUACACGGCUAGAGUGCGUUCGGGGCAGAGGGAAUUCCUGGUGUAGCGGUGAAAUGCGUAGAUAUUGGAAAGAACACCGAUGGCGAAGGCACUCUACUGGGCUAUUACUGACACUCAGAGACGAAAGCUAGGGGAGCAAAUGGG
rnacentral:rRNA from 1 species